GCGGUGGUGGGUCAGUGAUAGAAUUCUCAUCUUCCAUGCAGGAGGCCUGGGUUCAACUCCCAGCCAGUGCA
rfam:Loxodonta africana unplaced genomic scaffold scaffold_25, whole genome shotgun sequence.